AUUGCAGGCUGCAACUCGCCUGCAUGAAGUCGGAAUUGCUAGUAAUCGUAGGUCAGCAUACUACGGUGAAUACGUUCCCGGGCCUUGUACACACCGCCCGUCAAACCAUGAGAGUUGGCAACACCCGAAGUCGGUAGUCUAACCGCAAGGAGGACGCCGCCGAAGGUGGGGUCGAUGAUUAGGGUUAAGUCGUAACAAGGUACC
rnacentral:rRNA from 1 species